UACAACAACUAAAGUUUACUUGGUCUCAAAUUCUUCUUGCCCAGGUUCCAAUGGCUCCAAAACAGCCAAACACAGGACUCUUUGUGGGUCUAAAUAAAGGGCAUGUUGUCACCAAGAAGGAAUUAGCACCUCGUCCUUCCGACAGAAAAGGGGCUUAUCAAGAUAUUCUCUAGCUUUGAGAGCUGCAUAAGGCUAAUGAUUAAAAAAAGAAAAAAUGGAGAUUCUAAAGAUCAUCAUCCAAAUGCACCAAAAUUUAGAGUAAGAUCGAACCACUAUUAAUGAAGGUAUUCUACUGGGCUAGGAUGCUUGUUGUUUGGAUAUGGAGCCAUGGAAGAACUUGGACCCUUCCAUGUUAACAGUGAUGGAAAAACACUCUACCCCAACCACUAUGCAUGGAACAAUGGUAACAAAAAUUCCUUUAAUUACUAUGUCCCAUUCACAUCACUUAUAAUCUUAGUCCCUGUCUUGCAGGUGCAUGCCUAACCCUAUAAAACCUUUGCUUUUGAGGUACUAACUGUUUUCUCCUGGAAUUUUUUUUGCCUGAGAUUUUUUGCUGCCAGCUAUCCCUUCGGGACCACUCUUAUGUAUUAUGUUAAAAGCACCAAUUCAGAAAUUUGCUGAUUAUGUAAGUCAGCUUUCCUCUUCCUUUUUGCUUUUUAUUAUUUAUGCACCCUUAUGCCACAAAUCUCUUUAUUUAUCAUACUAAAUAUGCAACCAUCCCUUAUUUUACUCCUAACUUGUUGUAUAAUUCAUUCAUGUCAGCUGCAUAUAUGUUGCAUAAAAUAAAUUGGUAAAAGUAGACAUGUGAAUUAUGCAUCUGUUAUCUCAAAUCUUACAUUUAUUUUUAUUUCUGUUAUUGUUUUUUCCAGCUUUUAGGUGUUGGUGUCAAGCUUGUUGGCAAUACAGUGUGGA